rnacentral:rRNA from 1 species
AUUGGACGCUGGCGGCAUGCUUUACACAUGCAAGUCGAACGGUAACAGGGUGCUUGCACCGCUGACGAGUGGCGAACGGGUGAGUAAUACAUCGGAAUGUACCCAGUAAUGGGGGAUAACGCUUCGAAAGGAGUGCUAAUACCGCAUACGCCCUGAGGGGGAAAGUGGGGGACCGCAAGGCCUCACGUUAUUGGAGCAGCCGAUGGCUGAUUAGCUAGUUGGUGAGGUAAAGGCUCACCAAGGCGACGAUCAGUAGCGGGUCUUAGAGGACGAUCCGCCACACUGGAACUGAAACACGGUCCAGACUCCUACGGGAGGCAGCAGUGGGGAAUCUUGGACAAUGGGCGAAAGCCUGAUCCAGCAAUGCCGCGUGCGUGAAGAAGGCCUUCGGGUUGUAAAGCGCUUUCGUCUGGGAGCAAAUCCCGGCCUCUAAUACAGGUCGGGGAUGAGAGUACCAGAAGAAUAAGGACCGGCUAACUACGUGCCAGCCGCCGCAGUAAGAC